AGUAUUACAUCUGAUCUUCCUGUUUCUGUCCAGACUAAGAGGAUCCAGUACACUCGAUAGAAUUCCAUGUCGAUGAAAAGGGCCGUUGUUCUUCAGGGCCUUCCACAUUACCUCAGCGAGGAUCCGUCAGAUUUCUUUAAGUCAGCAGAGGAAACCGACAUUGAAGACCAUGUGACUGCAGGAAUGGAUGUGGGCAUUCUCAUAAUUCCUGAUGGAGAUGAUGCCUUGACUACUACGUGGUGCUGGAGGAACAGAUUGCCCUGAGAGAUGCCAUAGACCUCCCUCAUGCUGUGGCUCUACUAGUCGGGCUGAUUUUUGCACUUAAUAUUGAUUAUCCCAAAAAACUACGCUACACAUUUGAGGUCAUUCAAAAGAUUUUCAUUGACCUUGGAGGUGAUCAGUGUUCUGUGAAGGUGCAUGGACUGAAAAAUAGACUCCUUCGCAAAACUGUGUAGUGUCCUAAUUGGUAUAUGAUGUGUGCCUUUUUGUUCAUGAUUUAGCCUGGUGAAUUUCUGGUUGUUUUAAAACAAUGAAUGUUCAAUUCAUUUUUUCUUGACGUGGUACUUUAUGCAGUGCCAAUAUAUGUAACUCAAUAUAAAAAUAUCUUGAUUUUUAGACACUUGUUUUCUGUUUAUACAGUAUUGUUAAUGUAGUACAUUACUGUAUGUUUGUACAGUAUUGUUCAUGCAGUACAUUUCUGUUUUAUGCAGUACAGCACUAUGCUUUAUUCAGUAUCGUUCAUGCAGAACAUUACUCUGUAUUUUAUGCAGUACAUCACUGUAUGUUUAAAGUAUCAGUUAAUGAACUGGUUUUAGUGGAAAAAUAAAAUCCAGAU